GACGAACGCUGGCGGCGCGCUUAACACAUGCAAGUCGAACGGAAAGGCCUGCUUUCCCUUGUGGAUUGCGGGUACUCGAGUGGCGAACGGGUGAGUAACACGUGAGUGAUCUGCCCCCAACUUAGGUAUAAGCCUGGGAAACUGGGUCUAAUUCCCGAUAGGACUGCAGGGUGGUGCCUGUGGUGGAAAACGAUUUUCUAGUGGUUGGGGAUGAGCUCGCGGCCUAUCAGCUUGUUGGUGGGGUAAUGGCCUACCAAGGCGGCGACGGGUAGCCGGCCUGAGAGGGUGGACGGCCACAUUGGGACUGAGAUACGGCCCAGACUCCUACGGGAGGCAGCAGUGGGGAAUAUUGCACAAUGGGCGGAAGCCUGAUGCAGCGACGCCGCGUGGGGGAUGACGGCCCUCGGGUUGUAAACUCCUUUCGACCGCGAGGAAGCCACCUGGUUGGAAGGGUGGUGACGGUAGUGGUAGAAGAAGCACCGGCUAACUACGUG
rnacentral:rRNA from 1 species